AAUAUAUAUAUAUAUAACAUUUAACAUUUAUUGUUUUUGACAUUAAUUCAAUGUACACCUUAAGAUUGUUUUGUUUGUUUUAUUUUGUCUUCUAAGUAAAGUAAAUCCCUUUACUUUAACACUGUUCUCUGUCUCGUUAAUGCUGACACACAGCCCCACCUCCUUUCCGAACCGACAUACAGGUCCUAGAGUGGCAAAUUCCUUUGUUACCUGUGUUUACCCAGCUUCAGUGUUGCUGGAUAGUAGUCAGUCAUCAGCUAGCUGUUAGGAGUGCUACAUAAACCUCAAUCUGAUUAGGUAGCAACAUUCCAGAGAUGGUGUUGUCCAGCAUUGGGGCUCCUCAGAGUUCAGUACUGUAGCUGUUUCUCUUUACCCUGUACACUGCUGACAUAUAAAUCUGAACUGUGUCACAUCCAGAAAUAUUCAGGUGAUACAGCAGUGUUAAAGCAUCAGCGAGCGACUAAUAUUAAUAACAAGACUUAUACAUGUCUACAGAUACUGUAGCUACUCCACACACCAAAACACUUUUUCAAAAACCCCACCUUUUAUCAGCAGGUGAUGCUCAGCUUCAGCAGCAGCCCAACACCCCCACAAUCAGCCAGCAUCAAGCAGAGUGUAAAGUAAAGCGGUGUACCACUGGUGAUGUGAUAAAGCUUUAAGCCUGUAAGAUGAGGUGUUGAGUGAGGGGGGCGGAGCUGAGUGUGUGUACAGAGUAGAGAGGAUCAGCACACUGUCAUGCUGGUGUACUAAAGAGCUGAAAGUCAGUGUGUUCUUCUCCCAGUGUGUGCUACACCACCAUGAUCAUUUUCACUGUACUGCUGCUCUCUGCUCUUACAGGUAACAGAGCUGAAGACGUCAUCACUCCUAGCAGAGACGCUGUUUUUGCUGUUGAAGGUCAGAAUGUUUCUCUCUCCUGUAACUACACUGUAACUGGAACCAGUUAUGGUCUUCACUGGUACCGACAGUAUUCAGGAUCAUCUCCCCAGUUCCUCAUACUGGACUAUGCAGGGGUCAUUACUGAAGCUCAACCUCCAGUUCCUAGAAUAUCCAUCAACCAUCAAAAAGAAAAGAGGAAAGUGGAUCUGAUCAUCUCCUCUACUGCAGUAUCAGACUCUGCUCUCUACUACUGCGCUCUGAAGCCCACAGUGACAGAAACCCACCAAACACUGUACUAAAACUUUACUUGUGAAAUAUGUAGAAACACUUAUAUUUCAGGAGGGGGCGCUGUUUCUCUUCUGCUUCUUUAUCUUCAGCUUCCUCACCAUUCAGGUUAGAACAUCAGUCUGCUUUGGAACAUCAGUCAUCAUGUUGUGACCUACAGUAAACUGGAACUCUCUAUAACCCUUUAUAAAUGUUUACAGAUACUUCUGUAAAAUAUGUAAUGUCAUAUUCUUUGCACAAACAUUUAUCUCUCAUUUUUAUUUAUUUUUUUAUAGACUAUUUCGAUCAAUUACAUAAUUGAAAGAGAAAUGCAUGGUGUAAGUUGACACCACUUAAAUUUACAAUUAACUUAUAAAAAAAGCAAUAAACUAUAUUUUGGUUACUACACCAUAUCCCUUAUUUAUAUACUUUAUUUUUUAUAUUCAUUUAUUUUAUUUUUAAUUAACUUUUACAAUGCAUUUUUUAUGCCUCUCUCCUUUUUUAACUACUUGAAGUAGAUUUUGAAGAAUCUGUAUAAUUCAUUAAUGUGUUGUUUAUAAUGAAUUAGUGAAUUUGAAUUUCUUUUCAGUUGUUGAUGAUAUAAAAGGCUACUGUAAUAUACAGGACAUGGCACUGAAUAAUAAUAGUGUUUGUAUAAAAUCUGGAACAUGUAGCUUUG